UGAUAUUGAUUAAAGAAAGGAAGCAUUUGUCUUAACUUGAGAACAAAAUGAACUUCUAAUUAAAGUAGUUACAAGAAAAGAAAAAUCAUGACAUUAAGAUAACAUGUAAUCUUGGAAGAGUUUAAAAAUAGCAAUUUCUGUCUCCCAAAGUGGUAUGAUUUUGAUUCCCUUAGGCAUAGAGAACUUUGUUUACGGUGGUUUAACUUUGCAGUUUGAUAGAAGUCAGUAUCUUCAAAAAACUGAAACAAAACCUAGGAACUCAGGGAUGGAGUGAUACCCGUAUCUGUGCGACACAUUAGCUAUUUUGUCAGUUCUAUAUUCCCAAGUUGGAAUUUAACAUAAAAGAAAUACCUCAUUACUUUGUCCUAAAUCGUGUCUGAUCCACCAUGGAAGAAAUAGAUUUGGGGGGCUUUCUUAUUAGAAAAAAAUCGUAUCUUUGACUGAAUGAAAUAGUUCCUGCAAAAAGCAACUUGGAAUUCACCUUUGGUCUCCUUCCUAUCUUUAGCCUAUUUUCUAUAAAAAAGGUUUCUAGAUUUUAGGGUCUGCUUCGUUUUGGUUAUCUCAGCUGUAAUAAGUAGCCUUGGGACCCCCGAAGGCACACCCCACACACUUAUGCUGCGUGACCUAAGGUCACAAGUAAUGGCCGCAAGCUAAUUGAUUGAGAAAGGCUUGUCUGGCGGGGCCUCUUUGCGUCCUCUCUUUACAUUCCUUAGUCCUGUGAAAGAGGCACUGGCCGCUCAGCUAGCAAGGAAGGAAAAAAGAGAGGAAGUUUCUCCGCGUUCUGAUUACUCUCUGAAUUCCCUUGUAGCGAGCUUACUUCUCUCCACCCACUUCUUACCGAGAACUUAAUUUGAAGGUGAACAACUUAAAGCCUGUUCCCAGAGAGGUCCCCGAAAGGUGAUUUGAGUGUUUACCGAACUGAAGGAACAAAUUACCUACUUGAGGCGGUGGGCAGCGUAUGGAAACGCUAUUAGAACUUCAGCAAAGUGCACAGCUGCCUAAUACCGAAGCCGGGACUCAGAUUGAUAGGCAAAUCAGCCAGCUCGUGGAAGGGCCCUCUGGGUGGCGGCUCCGGGCUGGGCUAGUGGGUGCUGGACAACUGUAGGCAAAACAGAAAUGGAGCAGGGGCAGCAGAUAGCACACUUUUACGCCACGCAACUGUUGCUUUCGCAUGGUUAUUGAUCAUUAAAAUGGCAUUGUAAAGGGAUGAUUCAGAAAUAACAGAGCUUGUUGCUACUUCUGAGAUAAAGAAAAUUCUCGAUGUCAAGAUUUAAAUAGAGAAGAGAAUGAGAUAUACAAAAUGGGUAUUCUUGAAGUUAAUCAGAGAAAUAUUCAUGCACCUGUAAAGGGAAAAACUUAAAAUGGAUAUGAGAAGUGAAGAAAGUGAUCAUAGGAGAAAAUCAUCUCAGGUGUCUGAUGAUUUGUGAGCACCAAGUGACUAUUCUGUGGAAUCAUCUUUCCUUGCCUUUGAAUUAGCUUUCCCUAGGCCAUGAGUCAACAUCAAUGUUUUGUACAUCCAGAUUGCUGUUACAGGGAAAUGAUGCCAGAAGUCAGCCAAAGGAAGAGACACAAUGCAGAGUCUGGAGGGUUCCAAAUGUGAAGCUUUCCUUGUUCCCAGGACCUGUUGCCCUUCUAGUAUUGAUCUGUGACAAUACGCAUGUGGUAACGCCAAGGGGGAAGCUUUUGUGAGCUUCAGCAUCCAGAGUUUUUAUUGAGGCUCCAUUACAUAAGCAUGAUCGAUUGAUUUACCAGGUUUUCCAGAGGGUCCACCAUGAAAAACAGAGACGUCUGUCACUUGGAAAAUCCCAAGGGUUUAGAGGUUACCUCCCAGGACCUAUGUACAAAAAUGGCCACACCUCUUUUGGAUGAGGCCAAUUUCCUCACCAUGCAAUAUCAUUUACUAUUUUCUUGGGUAAAAUUCUCCGAUUCCUUAAUGUGACAUGAAAUAUAGCUUUAGAAGCUAAACAUAUCUUGGUUGCAUUUCUGUAGAUAAGUCCUAAUUUAUCAAUGUUCUCUUUUGGGGUCCAGACUUAGGGUAACUUUGAUAACAAAAUAUAUACCUUGUCACUACAAGCUACAUUGAAGUAUUGCUACUGUAAAGUAUGAAAUAAUACUUUAGAGUCAGGGGUCAGACAGACAGAGAGAAUCCUGACAUUUAACAGCCAUUAGACCUUGUGAAUGCUACUUAUUCUUUUCUGAGCUUUCAUUUUUUCAUAGAGAGUUAAUAAUAUUCCAUAUAUUAUGGGAUCACAUGUAAAAUCUUUAAUGUAUCAUAGGACCUUAAUAAAUAUUAGUUCUUGUCUGGAAAAAAUGUUGGAUGAUAUGAAUUUGUGUUUGAGGGGUUAUCUUAGGCAAGGUUUGCCUAUCCAGUCUUCUAGACUGAUGUAUGCAUACAUUAUUAAAACAAAACAGAAUUCAUUCAAUUUAUCAAAUAUUUAUCUAAAUCCAACUGAGAAGUGUAAAGCAUUAUGCUAGCAACUUAGAAAAAGGCAGUUUCAGCCUUCCUGGAAUGAGAACAUUUUCAUUAAUAUCUUUGAUACAAGUAGACUGCAGUAGGUGUUGAAUUAAGGUACAUAUCAGAUGCAGUGAUGGAAGUGCAAGAGAAAAAGAAAGUCUGACUGGGAUUAUUAGAGAAUGCUUCCCUAAGAAGGUGAUAUGUCUGAAAGGCCCAAUGUACUAGCAGGCUUUGAUAGCACUUUUAGGAAUAGUGAAUACCAUUUUUCAGAAUUUAUAAAUGUAUUUACUUGGUGAAAAGUGAAUUUUAUGACAAGGUAUAUAUAAAAUUAUCAUAAACAUAGGAACAGAUCAUAAAUCAAAUUAUCUUAUAUCAGAAAUAAGUUCUCUAAAAAUAAGAGGCAAUGUUAAAAAAAAAAACUUUUAACUAAAAGCUUAAUCUUUGUAAUAAAAAUAGCUCGUUGAUUUUAAGGGAUGUAAAGAGAUUGCUUCUGUUCAUUGCAUUUUAAAAAUUCAGAGACUAAAAAAAAUUAAAAAAUAAAAAUCCA